rnacentral:rRNA from 1 species
AUUGAACGCUGGCGGCAGGCUUAACACAUGCAAGUCGAGCGGGGGAAGGUAGCUUGCUACCGGACCUAGCGGCGGACGGGUGAGUAAUGCUUAGGAAUCUGCCUAUUAGUGGGGGACAACAUCUCGAAAGGGAUGCUAAUACCGCAUACGUCCUACGGGAGAAAGCAGGGGGUCUUCGGACCUUGCGCUAAUAGAUGAGCCUAAGUCGGAUUAGCUAGUUGGUGGGGUAAAGGCCUACCAAGGCGACGAUCUGUAGCGGGUCUGAGAGGAUGAUCCGCCACGCUGGGACUGAGACACGGCCCGGACUCCUACGGGAGGCAGCAGUGGGGAAUAUUGGACAAUGGGGGGAACCCUGAUCCAGCCAUGCCGCGUGUGUGAAGAAGGCCUUAUGGUUGUAAAGCACUUUAAGCGAGGAGGAGGCUACUCUAGUUAAUACCUAGGGAUAGUGGACGUUACUCGCAGAAUAAGCACCGGCUAACUCUGUGCCAGCCGCCGCCGUAA